rnacentral:rRNA from 1 species
UUAAAUUGAAGAGUUUGAUCAUGGCUCAGAUUGAACGCUGGCGGCAGGCCUAACACAUGCAAGUCGAGCGGUAGCACAGAGAGCUUGCUCUCGGGUGACGAGCGGCGGACGGGUGAGUAAUGUCUGGGAAACUGCCUGAUGGAGGGGGAUAACUACUGGAAACGGUAGCUAAUACCGCAUAACG